UACAGAGGUCUCGAGCGUUGUUCGGAUUCAUUGGGCGUAAAGGGUGCGUAGGUGGCGCUGUAAGUCGGGUGUGAAAUCCUGAGGCUUAACCUCGGAACUGCAUUCGAUACUGCGGUGCUUGAGGACUGGAGAGGAGACUGGAAUUCAUGGUGUAGCAGUGAAAUGCGUAGAGAUCAUGAGGAAGACCAGUGGCGAAGGCGGGACUCUGGGCCGAUACUGACGCUGAGGAGCGAAAGCGUGGGGAGCAAACAGG
rnacentral:rRNA from 1 species